rnacentral:rRNA from 1 species
UUGAUUAUGGCUCAGAACGUACGCUGGCGGCACGCCUAACACAUGCAAGUCGAACGAAGUAGCAAUACUUAGUGGCAGACGGGUGAGUAACAUGUAGGUAUCUGCCCUUUGGCCUGGAAUAACACGAGGAAACUUGUGCUAAUACCGGAUAAGUCUUUACGGAGAAAGCUUUAUGCACCAUUGGAUGAGCCUGCACUUGAUUAGUUUGUUGGUGGGGUAAUGGCCUACCAAGACUGUGAUCAAUAGCUGAUUUGAGAGGAUGAUCAGCCACAUUGGGACUGAGACACGGCCCAAACUCCUACGGGAGGCAGCAGUGGGGAAUCUUGCACAAUGGAGGAAACUCUGAUGCAGCGAUGCCACGUGAGUGAAGAAGGCCCUUGGGUUGUAAAGCUCUUUCGUCGGGGAAGAAAAUGACUGUACCCGAAUAAGAAGGUCCGGCUAACUUCGUGCCAGCAGCCGCGGUAAUACGAAGGGACCUAGCGUAGUUCGGAAUUACUGGGCUUAAAGAGUUCGUAGGUGGUUGAAAAAGUUGGUGGUGAAAUCCCAGAGCUUAACUCUGGAACUGCCAUCAAAACUUUUCAGCUAGAGUAUGAUAGAGGAAAGCAGAAUUUCUAGUGUAGAGGUGAAAUUCGUAGAUAUUAGAAAGAAUACCAAUUGCGAAGGCAGCUUUCUGGAUCAUUACUGACACUGAGGAACGAAAGCAUGGGUAGCGAAGAGGAUUAGAUACCCUCGUAGUCCAUGCCGUAAACGAUGUGUGUUAGACGUUGGAAAUUUAUUUUCAGUGUCGCAGCGAAAGCGAUAAACACACCGCCUGGGGAGUACGACCGCAAGGUUAAAACUCAAAUGAAUUGACGGGGACCCGCACAAGUAGUGGAGCAUGUGGUUUAAUUCGAAGAUACGCGCAGAGCCUUACCAACACUUGACAUGUUCGUCGCGACUUUAAGAGAUUAAAGUUUUCGGUUCGGCCGGACGAAACACAGGUGCUGCAUGGCUGUCGUCAGCUCGUGUCGUGAGAUGUUGGGUUAAGUCCCGCAACGAGCGCAACCCUCACUUUUAGUUGCCAUCAUUUAGUUGGGCACUCUGAAAGAACUGCCAGUGAUAAGCUGGAGGAAGGUGGGGAUGACGUCAAGUCCUCAUGGCCCUUACGUGUUGGGCUACACACGUGCUACAAUGGUAUCUACAACAGGAAGCAAAACCGCGAGGUUAGGCAAAUCCUUAAAAGAUACCUCAGUUCGGAUCGCACUCUGCAACUCGAGUGCAUGAAGCUGGAAUUACUAGUAAUCGUGGAUCAGCGUGCCACGGUGAAUGCGUUCCCGGGUCUUGUACACACCGCCCGUCA